UUUCGUCCAGGAUUCGAACGCAAUGGUCUGGGAUGUCAGUUUGCGCUGUAGACUGUUGACAGAAGCGGUGUCGGCUAAAUAAGUGCUGCGGGCUGCUAAAAACUCGGUUUUUUCAUGUAAAUACACCGAAUUCCUGUUUGAGAGCCUUUUCAAAAUCACUUCUCAGAGACCCGGUGACCUCUCGUGGUUAAAUGGAGAAUUUAGAGACGUGUUUGAGUGCUUUUUGUUUGACAUUGUGUCAGGACACUGAAGCUGUGGGUCCUUUGACCAUCACCUGCUCAUAAACACAACAUUUUACAUGGAGAAACAGAUUCAUCACACAGAGAUUCAACUCACAGCGUGAUGACGAAUGGGCUCUGCACCGAGAAAGCAGGUUCCUCGAGUAGAGAAACAGUCUAUCAGCAGUGAAUCUUUAUCAUCAUCAUCUUCAUCCUCAUCACCACCGCCGGUAUGUCUGAGUAAUCCCGCAGUCCCUCAUAUCAUCGUCACAGCUCCAUCUCGAGAAAACCUCCUGGAUAAACCCGUGGGUUUGAGCAUCGCGGACGCCAAUAAAGAGCCGCGGCCGAUGGGCAGGCCGAUGUUCGUCGGUCGGGGUCGUUUCGUCACGGGCACAGCCUGAUGCGCCGACUCUAUGACACUUGGAUAACGUUCAAUACAGUCACAUGGUUGAAUGACUUUUCUCGCAUCACAUAAUUUUUCUCAAGAGGCUUUGAGGCAUUUAAAUCUGAGGACUUUUGUUUGUUUUUUUCAUCACUGGUGACUUUUGUGCUCAAACUAGUCCUUUACGAGGACUGGUAGGAUGGACUGGCACCUGUACGUGUGGAAAUACACAGCAGUAGUGAACUAUAAUGUAAAAGUACGAAGUGACAGCUUUUGUUUAUUUAUUUUUAUUUAUAGACUUUUUAGAGCAGUUUUUAGCUAGACCAUAGGUCUCGAACUCAAUUCCUGGAGGGCCGCAGCUCUGCACAGUUUUGCUACAACUCAAAUCAAACAUAACUAAUCCAACUAAUCAAGGUGUUCAUGAAGUUGCGGUCACACUGCACUUUUCUCCCCAUAGACUUCCAUUCAUAUGCAUGCGGAAACGGAAAUGCAAGUUCGAGCGUCAAGUUUCGCAGUUCACUGCGUUGCAAAGUUCAAUCUUGGUAAACUCUGACCAAAGUCAUUUCAUUUGGCGGCCAUCUUUGAAACGCCUCUCAGGCAGUAUGCUUGUGCAUUAUGUUUCAAUGGGGAAACAUAACGUUUUCCAAAACUACUUGCCAAGCUUACGAUUACAUUACAUAUUACGAAUAACCAAUAAAAUUAAACAACAACUGUCUAUUUAGUUUAAUUUCUAAAUGUUCGUAUCACAAAAUCUGCAGAAACUCAUAUCUGGUCCGAGCCCCUCCCCCGGAGGAUUGUCAUUUUAUGAAGAUCACUGAUUGGCUCCUGUACCAGAAGGCGGGGCUUCAUUCGCCAUAUUGACAGUUACACUUUUCCCCAUUCAAAAGCAUACGAGUGACAUGGCUUGUGUAUUCUACAGUCGUUGCUCUGACCUGAGAAAUCGCAUCACUUGUCCACAAUACAGAAUCAAAACAUGACCCCUCUGGACAGAAAUGUAAAAUAUGGACCAAUUGCUUGCUUUUUUAAAUGUCUAAUCAUCUUGUUUAAUCCCGCCCCCUUUCGCAGCGCAGUACAACAAAAUGCCGCAUGCAAUAACUCUAAUGUGACCGCAGCUUGACUCCUUUGAACACCUCGGUUAUUUGGAUCAGCUGUGUUUGACUAGGGUUGUAGCAAAACUGUGCAGAGCUGCGGCCCUCCAGGACUUGAGUUCGAGACCUAUGAGCUAGACCAUUAAAUAAAAAACAGCAAUAUUGAUUGAACAUUAAACAAAUAAAAAACGAUGUUAGAAAAUAUUAUUAACAAAGGAUACUUAUUAGUUAAAGAUUAUUAAUAUUACCAUUGGGCAACGCUCCACCCAUUUUACACACUACUGAAGCGACUUAGCAUAUUUAUUCUUUGGUAAGCAACAUAAAAUAACAUAAAUAAUAAUGCAGACUAACAGUGCUUUCAAUCACAAAUAAAACAAUAAAAAAUA